AAGGUUUUAAGUUAAUCAAACUAAUAGCCUUCAAAGCUGAAAAUAAAUACAUAUUUAAACCUUA
rnacentral:tRNA from 1 species